rnacentral:rRNA from 1 species
GAUGAACGCUGGCGGCGUGCUUAACACAUGCAAGUCGAACGGUGAACGAGGGAGCUUGCUCCCUCCGGAUCAGUGGCGAACGGGUGAGUAACACGUGAGCAAUCUGCCCUGGACUCUGGGAUAAGCGUUGGAAACGACGUCUAAUACCGGAUACGAGGCGUGGGGGCAUCCCCAACGCCUGGAAAGAACUUCGGUCCAGGAUGAGCCCGCGGCCUAUCAGCUAGUUGGUGAGGUAACGGCUCACCAAGGCGACGACGGGUAGCCGGCCUGAGAGGGUGACCGGCCACACUGGGACUGAGACACGGCCCAGACUCCUACGGGAGGCAGCAGUGGGGAAUAUUGCACAAUGGGCGCAAGCCUGAUGCAGCAACGCCGCGUGAGGGACGACGGCCUUCGGGUUGUAAACCUCUUUUAGCAGGGAAGAAGCGAAAGUGACGGUACCUGCAGAAAAAGCACCGGCUAACUACGUGCCAGCCGCCGCAGUAAUAC